AGAGUUUGAUCCUGGCUCAGGACGAACGCUGGCGGCGUGCCUAAUACAUGCAAGUCGAGCGCGUGAACCUGAAUGAUCCCUUCGGGGUGACUUCAGCGGAUCGAGCGGCGGAUGGGUGAGUAACACGUGGGCAACCUGCCUGUAAGAUCGGGAUAACUUGCGGAAACGUGAGCUAAUACCGGAUAAUGUCUCUUUUCGCAUGAAUGGAGAAUGAAAGACGGCUUCGGCUGUCACUUACAGAUGGGCCCGCGGCGCAUUAGCUAGUUGGUGGGGUAAAAGCCUACCAAGGCGACGAUGCGUAGCCGACCUGAGAGGGUGAUCGGCCACACUGGGACUGAGACACGGUCCAGACUCCUACGGGAGGCAGCAGUAGGGAAUCUUCCGCAAUGGACGAAAGUCUGACGGAGCAACGCCGCGUGAGUGAUGAAGGUUUUCGGAUCGUAAAACUCUGUUGUCAGGGAAGAACACAUGCGAGAGUAACUGCUCGCAUCUUGACGGUACCUGACCAGAAAGCCACGGCUAACUACGUGCCAGCAGCCGCGGUAAUACGUAGGUGGCAAGCGUUGUCCGGAAUUAUUGGGCGUAAAGGGCUCGCAGGCGGUUUUCUAAGUCUGACGUGAAAUCUUGUGGCUUAACCACAAGCGGUCAUUGGAAACUGGAAAGACUUGAGUACAGAAGAGGAGAGUGGAAUUCCACGUGUAGCGGUGAAAAUGCGUAGAGAUGUGGAGGAACACCAGUGGCGAAGGCGACUCUCUGGUCUGUAACUGACGCUGAGGAGCGAAAGCGUGGGGAGCAAACAGGAUUAGAUACCCUGGUAGUCCACGCCGUAAACGAUGAGUGCUAGGUGUUAGGGGGUUUCCGCCCCUUAGUGCUGGAGUUAACGCAUUAAGCACUCCGCCUGGGGAGUACGGCCGCAAGGCUGAAACUCAAAAGAAUUGACGGGGGCCCGCACAAGCGGUGGAGCAUGUGGUUUAAUUCGAAGCAACGCGAAGAACCUUACCAGGUCUUGACAUCCCGCUGACAGCUAUGGAGACAUAGCUUUCCCUUCGGGGACAGCGGUGACAGGUGGUGCAUGGUUGUCGUCAGCUCGUGUCGUGAGAUGUUGGGUUAAGUCCCGCAACGAGCGCAACCCUUGACCUUAGUUGCCAGCAUUCAGUUGGGCACUCUAAGGUGACUGCCGGUGACAAACCGGAGGAAGGUGGGGAUGACGUCAAAUCAUCAUGCCCCUUAUGACCUGGGCUACACACGUGCUACAAUGGAUGGUACAAAGAGGAGCGAAACCGCGAGGUCAAGCAAAUCUCAUAAAACCAUUCUCAGUUCGGAUUGCAGGCUGCAACUCGCCUGCAUGAAGCCGGAAUCGCUAGUAAUCGUGGAUCAGCAUGCCACGGUGAAUACGUUCCCGGGCCUUGUACACACCGCCCGUCACACCACGAGAGUUGGUAACACCCGAAGUCGGUGAGGUAACCUUUUGGAGCCAGCCGCCGAAGGUGGGACCAAUGAUUGGGGUGAAGUCGUAACAAGGUAACC
rnacentral:rRNA from 1 species